rnacentral:rRNA from 1 species
GACGAACCGAGCGAACGUUAUUCGGAAUCACUGGGCUUAAAGGGCGCGUAGGCGGGCCGUCAAGUCGAGGGUGAAAUCCCCCAGCUCAACUGGGGAAGUGCCUCCGAUACUGGCGGCCUCGAGGGGGAUAGGGGCAUGCGGAACUUCCGGUGGAGCGGUGAAAUGCGUAGAUAUCAGGAAGAACACCCGUGGCGAAGGCGGCUUUCUGGGACGGUACUGACGCUGAGACGCGAAAGCGUGGGGAGCGAACAGG